UUAAAAGGGCUGUAGAGGAAGGAACUGUCACCCCAGAAUUCUCUAUGCAGUAAAAAAUAUCCUUCAGGAAAGCAGGUAAAAUAAAGACAUUCGCAGAUGAAGGAAAGCUAAGAGCAUUUGUCGCCAGCAGUACUGCUUUAAAAGAAUUGCUAAAGGAAGUUCUUCAGACAGAAGGAAAAUGAUACAAGAAAAAAACUUGGAACAACACGAAUCAAGGAAGGGCAAUCAAAAUGGUAAAUAUCUGGGGAAAAAUAAGGAGGAUAAACUGAGCAGUAACCCGAGGGAACAGCAGCAGGUACAGAGCAAGUGCUGGGUGAAAGGCGGGGAAGGUGCACGUGACGGUCACUGAAGCUGCUGAGUGUGGAUCCGGACACAGAGAUGCUGACAAGGAAGGGACUGCAUGGGUCCAGACCAAGGAGCAGUGAGGCGGGCUUCAACAUCAAGACUGCCAAGAGGCAGGGUAAUAUUCCACUGUGUAGAUAUACCACAUCUUCUUUAUCCAUUCAUCUCUGGAUGGACACGUAGCUGCUUCCAUGUUGUGACUACUGUAAAUAAUGCUGCUAUGAACACUGAGGUGCGUGUAUCUUUUCAAAUUAGAAUAUUCUCCAGAUAUAUGCCCAGGAGCGGGACUGCUGGAUCAUAUGGCAACUUGCAAGAGCAUAUUCUUA